GAUAAACGCUAGCGGCAGGCUUAACACAUGCAAGUCGAGGGGCAGCAUAGAUUGUAGCAAUACAAUUGGUGGCGACCGGCGCACGGGUGCGUAACGCGUAUGCAACCUACCCGUCACAGGGGGAUAAUCCGGAGAAAUCUGGUCUAAUACCCCAUAACAUAUGGAUCGGCAUCGGUUCAUGUUGAAAUUUUCGGAGGUGACGGAUGGGCAUGCGUAGCAUUAGCUUGUUGGUGAGGUAACGGCUCACCAAGGCGACGAUGCUUAGGGGGACUGAGAGGUUUUCCCCCCACACUGGAACUGAGACACGGACCAGACUCCUACGGGAGGCAGCAGUGGGGAAUAUUGGUCAAUGGGCGCAAGCCUGAACCAGCCAUGCCGCGUGCAGGAUGACGGCUCUAUGAGUUGUAAACUGCUUUUGUACGAGGGUAAAGUGGGUUACGUGUAACCUUUUGAAAGUAUCGUACGAAUAAGGAUCGGCUAACUCCGUGCCAGCAGCCGCCGUAA
rnacentral:rRNA from 1 species